rnacentral:rRNA from 1 species
UACGUAGGUGGCAAGCGUUGUCCGGAUUUACUGGGCGUAAAGAGCGCGCAGGCGGUCGAUUUAGUCGCGUGUGAAAGCCCCCGGCUCAACUGGGGAGGGUCACGCGAUACUGAUCGACUCGAAGGCAGGAGAGGGUAGUGGAAUUCCCGGUGUAGUGGUGAAAUGCGUAGAUAUCGGGAGGAACACCAGUGGCGAAGGCGACUACCUGGCCCGAUACUGACACUGAGGCGCGAAAGCGUGGGGAGCAAACAGG